CAGAUGACACCUGCCAGUUGGACAUGUACACCUUACAAUCAUUCCAUACACCAAAUAUAAUAGACCUAUUGCAUACAGUAUAAGAAAAACAGACCAAAACACAAAAACUUAACUAUAACCACUGAACCAUGAAAAUGAGGUCAAGGUCAGAUGACACCUGCCAGUUGGACAUGUACACCUUACAAUCAUUCCAUACACCAAAUAUAAUAGACCUAUUGCAUACAGUAUAAGAAAAACAGACCAAAACACAAAAACUUAACUAUAACCACUGAACCAUGAAAAUGAGGUAAAGGUCAGAUGACACCUGCCAGUUGGACAUGUACACCUUACAAUCAUUCCAUACACCAAAUAUAAUAGACCUAUUGCAUACAGUAUAAGAAAAACAGACCAAAACACAAAAACUUAACUAUAACCACUGAACCAUGAAAAUGAGGUCAAGGUCAGAUGACACCUGCCAGUUGGACAUGUACACCUUACAGUCCUUCCAUACACCAAAUAUACUAGACCUA